rnacentral:miRNA from 14 species
GGUGGCAGGGCCACAACCAGCAUAGUCAGGUGUGCACCAUGCACCUCUGGGCGAGUAUCUCUUUGAGCGCCUCACUUUCAAGCAGGAAUAGGAGGCCUUCCGAGC